rnacentral:rRNA from 1 species
ACUACGGGAGGCAGCAGUGAGGAAUAUUGGUCAAUGGGCGCGAGCCUGAACCAGCCAAGUAGCGUGAAGGAUGACUGCCCUACGGGUUGUAAACUUCUUUUAUAAAGGAAUAAAGUGAGGCACGUCUGCGUUUUUUCGUGCCUUUCUUCAACCGUCUGGUCUGCCGCUCUGCCCUCCGCCGCGGUACUCAGGAGGAUCCGAGCGUUAUCCGGAUUUAUUGUGUUCAAAGGGAGCGUCGUUGGGUUGUUAAGUCAGUUGUGAAAGUUUGCGGCUCAACCGUAAAAUUGCAAUUGAUACUGGCAGUCUUGAGUACAGUUGAGGUAGGCGGAAUUCGUGGUGUAGCGGUGAAAUGCUUAGAUAUCACGAAGAACUCCGUUUGCGAAGGCAGCUUACUAAACUGCCACUGACAUGCAUGCUGUAAAGUGUGGGUAUCAAACAGGAUUAGAUACCCUAGUAGUC